GUUUUAUCGUGGCAAUUUGUAAAACACAAAUGAAUGGUUGAACACUUGAUCACUUUGAUAUGCAUAUUUUAAACUGAUCUUCCACCAGUUCUCAGCUACGUGUCAGCACGCGUUAUUUGCAUGGAUACACAGUCAACAUUACAAACUUGGCGUUCAGUAUAGCGGUUUACGCGAUAUUUCAUAAUUUUGUUCACUAUGUAUAAAAUUAGUAAUUGUACAGCUUAGUAUAAGUGGCGGGUUUGUCAAUUGUAAAACAGCGCAGUUUACUGGAAUCUAGAAGCCGAUAUCUUUACAGGCAUAUGUUGCAUGAGUAUUCACGAACAUUUUGAAUAACAUAGACAAAAGGUUAAUUUCCUUUAGUCUUUAAAUUGUAUGGCUAUAACUACAUGUAUUUUCCUCUUUC